CGCCAAGUAGCCGACGGGGCGACCGCGGGGCCGGUUACGGCGGCCCCGCGGUCCCCCUCACCCGUACUGCUCAGACGCAGUACUGGGCGGCC
rnacentral:tRNA from 1 species